rnacentral:rRNA from 1 species
AUGUCCACUCUGCGGCCACGAGUUAGUGACAGCCGUCGCAAGGAGUGGGAACAAUGUUGGCACCGAUUCUACAAGUGCAUCCGCUACGAUUCAAGGCAGUGCCGUUUCUUUGAGUUCCAGCGUGCGUACAACAUGAGGAUGACUCAUGAGCAGAUCCUGGCUAUGCAGCACCAGGCCGGAUGGCACCCACCCGGGUUUGGAUUCGCGCCCCAGCAGGGAAAUGGUCCUUCUCAGAUGGUUCGUGCUACCAUCCAACCCCAGAUCCAGGCGCAGUUGCAGCCGCAGAUGCAGCCGCAGACGCAGCCUCAGAUCCAGUCUCCGAUGCAGCAGCUUCCCCCGGCGGGCAACAAUAUGAUAGCUGACGCCGGAGUCGGAGCAGCAUAUGGAGCACAAGGCCUAGGUGCAGUCGCUGUUCUUAUGGCUGCAGUGAACAUCAUGCUAACUGUUGUGCUGUUGAUGGUUGUGUUAGCUAAGUAA